rnacentral:rRNA from 1 species
GGCUGCGCGCUAAACAUGCAGUCGACGCUUCUUUUAUCCCCCUAGCUUGCUCCCCGACAAAAGGAGGAUGGCGAACUAAUUGAUUAACACACUGCCUAACCUGCCCAUCAUAAGGGCAUAACACUUGAAAACAUGUGCUAAUACCUCAUAACACUCAAAACGGCGAGCUUUUGAUUUCUAGCGCUCUUUCGGGUGUCGCUGAUGUUAUGGACCCGCGUGUGCAUUACGCUUCUCGUGAGGUAACAGCUCACCAUGGCCACAAUGCAUAACCAGACCUGCUAGGGUGAUCGACCACAUCUGGAACUCCAAACGCGGGCCACACUCCUACAGUAAUGCACCAUUAGGGAAUCUUCGACAAUGCACUACAGCGUGACCGAACAACGCCUCCUGAGUGAAAAAUGUUUUCAGAUCGUAAAACUCUGUUGUUAUAGAAAAAUUUGAUGAUAGUAACUGUUCAUCCCUUGACAGCAUCUAACCCCAUGCCACGGCUAACUACGUGCCAACGCCGCGGUAAUACUAGGUGGCCAGCGUUGUCCGGAUUUAUUGGGCGUUUGCGAGCGCAAGCUGUUUCCUAAGUCUGAUGUGAAAGCCCCCGGCUCAACCGGGGAGGGUUUUGUAAACUGGAAGACUUUAGUGCUCAAGAUGAAAGUGGAAUUUGUGUGUAACCGUGAAAUACAUAGAUUAUGAAGGAACCCCCUGGCGAAGGCGGAUCUCUAGUCUGUAAUGACGCUGAGCUCCAAGCUUGAUGAGCUGCAGGAUUAGAUACCCUGGAAGUCCACCCGUAAACGUGACUUCUAAGUGUUCUACGGUACCUCCCUUCUUGCCGCACCUCCGCAUAAACACUCCCCUGGGGAAUUCACUGAAUGUUGAACUCCACGAAUGACGGAGCCGCACAUCAUUCGAGCAGUGGUUAAUCUACCACUCUAACAUCUUACAGGCUUG